AGAGUUUGAUCUGGCUCAGAUUGAACGCUGGCGGUAUGCUUAACACAUGCAAGUCGAACGGCAGCACAGGGUAGCUUGCUAUCCGGGUGGCGAGUGGCGGACGGGUGAGUAACGCGUAGGAAUCUACCUUAUCGUGGGGGAUAACCCGGGGAAACCCGGGCUAAUACCGCAUACGCCCUACGGGGGAAAGCGGGGACCUUCGGGCCUCGCGCGAAAAGAUGAGCCUGCGUCCUAUCAGGUAGUUGGUGAGGUAAUGGCUCACCAAGCCAACGACGGGUAGCUGGUCUGAGAGGACGACCAGCCACACUGGGACUGAGACACGGCCCAGACUCCUACGGGAGGCAGCAGUGGGGAAUAUUGGACAAUGGGGGCAACCCUGAUCCAGCAAUACCGCGUGUGUGAAGAGGGCCUUCGGGUUGUAAAGCACUUUUAGCAGGAAAGAAAGUCUGUGCGCUAAUACCGUACGGUUUUGACGUUACCUGCAGAAAAAGCACCGGCUAACUCCGUGCCAGCCGCCGCGGUAAUUC
rnacentral:rRNA from 1 species